AUUAAAUGAAACUCAGGACUUUUCCUCUCCGUUUUCCUUGUCUCUCUCUCUAGCUCUAUUCUCUGCAACUUGAAACUCAUUCUCUCCUCUAUUCUCAGACAAUGACAUUCUCUCCUCCAUUCUCUUCUUCUCCCCGUCGUCUCGUGCUUAGAAGCCCAUUAAAGCUUUGGAACCCCCAUAUGAUUCCAAACGUUUAACCCCCAUUAAAGCUUCCGAGCCCUAACCCUGUUGUCUCCCUGAUUUGUCGUCGAAGCCAAGGCUAAUUUUCUCAAGCACCGAUACAGUGCAUCUGUGAUUUGUUUGAUUCAAAUCUGAGAAAGAGAGGAUUAGAUCAAGAAGAGGGAGAUGGUGCUUCACAAGAGAAAUGAUGAGAUUGAGAAGAGGGAGUUGGCUAUCCACGAUGAUCAAAUCGAUCUUCUGAUGAAACAAGUAGAAGUGUAGUGUUCACGCACACUACUUCAUGUGUAUUGGGGAUUUGCCAUAGUUAUUUCAUGUUAUUUAAUAGGAUCUAAGUGAAUUCCCAAUGUUGGUUUGCUUUUGUAAAUAAAACUCUACCAACCGGACAGGUUAUGUAAUGGAUGGGUAAGGUUAUCGAAAAAAAUUGUUAGGUUAUGUAAGUUGUGUUGUUUGCUGGUGGAAAUCUAAUGGAAAUUUAUUUUAAAAAUAA